GACGAACGCUGGCGGCGUGCUUAAUACAUGCAAGUCGAACGGAAAGGCGCUGAUCUUGUGGCGUGCUCGAGAGGCGAACGCGUGAGUAUAACGCGAGUAUCCUGUCCUUGAAUUUGGGAUAAAACUAGGAAACUCGGGCUCUUACAGGGUAGGAGCUACUGAAGCAUGGUGGGCGAUGGAAAGAUCCGGCGUUUGGGGAUGGACUCGCGGCUUAUGCGCUUGUUGGUGGGGUAGUUGAGUACCAAGUCUUUGAAGGGUAGCCGGCCUAAGAGCGGGACCGGCCACAUGGGGACUGAGAGACGGCCCAGACUCCUACGGGCGGCAGCAGUGGGGAACAUGGCACAAUGGCCCGAAGCCUGAUGCAACGACGCCGGGUGCGGAAUGCUCUCCUUCGAGUUGUGAACCGCUGUCGCCGGUGAUGAAGCGUGAGUGACGGUAAUGGGUAAGGAAGCACCGGCUAACUACGUG
rnacentral:rRNA from 1 species